rnacentral:tRNA from 1 species
AUUUUUAUAGUAUAAUAUAAUACAUGACAUUUUCAGUGUCAAACUGUUUUCAACUUAAAAUA